AUACGGAGGUUGCAAGCGUUACUCGGAAUCACUGGGCGUAAAGCGCGCGCAGGCGGCUUGAUAAGUUGGAUGUGAAAGCCUACGGCUCAACCGUAGAACUGCAUCCAAAACUGUCAAGCUAGAGUCUGGGAGGGGAAGAUGGAAUUAUUUGUGUAGGGGUAAAAUCCGUAGAGAUAACUAGGAAUACCAAAAGCGAAGGCGAUCUUCUGGAACAGUACUGACGCUGAGGCGCGAAAGCGUGGGGAGCAAACAGGAUUAGAUACCCUAGUAGUCC
rnacentral:rRNA from 1 species